AUUCCACAUCUCCACUGGUCCUAGACAGCCGUGACACUCUAUGUUAACAAGGGCUUUCUAAGAGUCCAAUCUGUAGAGUAGAGAGAGAAAAGGGGGAAAGGUAUUUAUGGGUGUCAUAAACCUCACCAACAGGGCAACGUCAUGACACAAGGUAGAAAGAGUCAACCAACAAGUGUUUCAACAAGACUUGAACACAAUGAUCAUUUUCAUCCUCAUCCUGUGUGCCUUGUCAAGAGAGGCCAUGGUUCAAAACACAGGCAGGUCAAAGUCCAUUCAUUAUUGAAGAUGAUUGAAUUCUCGUUUAGAUAAUUACAAUAUGAUACUCUACACAUAAACGAUUUACAUAUUGCAGAUAUUUGAUGGGCCAAAUACUUUUUAUUUUCUUAAAUAUUAGCCAAGAAGAUUUUUCCAGCAAAGAUCUAUUGGACUACUACAGGAACAAUCAUGGAGGGAAGUGACCUAGUGGUAAAAUGUAGUACACAUGGGCGCAAGGAAGACAAAGUGGCAUAUGUUUACUUGUGCAUUAACGGGGUUGCAGUGGAACAGAAGAGAACUAUACAAGAAGACACCUUUUUCACCAUGAAAAGUGUUACUGGCCAACAGACUGGCAAUUACAGCUGUGUGUUCUCUAAAACCCAGUAUCCAUAUUCUGAAGUGCAGGGAAAAGGAGAUAAUUAUCUUUUCAUCCAGGUGAUGGACCGUAUACUCCCUGCAGACAUAUCACUUGCAGGCUCAAGAACUGUGAGAAAGGGAGAAGGUGUGGAGUUUAAGUGUACUAUUUCAGACCCCAGUUUUCAAACAAAAAAGACCAGUGACUUAGUUCACUCUUACCUCUGCAAGUAUGGCUCUGUUGUUCAGAUCCAGGUGUUUUGACGUAAAGAGCAUGGAGGCAACGUUUACGAUUGAACGUUUUUUAAAGAGUGACACUGGCAACUACAGUUGUGUGCUUGACCUGCAAUCAAAAACCCUCACAGAUAAAGACAGAACAUUAUAUGGAAAUAAUGCAGUAUUUCUACAGGUUGAUGGUAAGAACGUAUGGUGUUUCUCUAAAUACUUACAUAUUUAAAUAAUAUAGUCACUACAUACAUAACUAGUUUUGUUAUUAGAAAAUCAUUGUUGAUGGUUCAUGGUUGCAGUACAUUGUUACUAUAGAAAUGAGAUGUAUAACAACAUACCUGUUUUGCUUUCCAGUGUCCCGGAGUCAUUUAAUCACACCGGUUGUGUUUUGCGUCUGUUUUCUUCUGAUCUUAUCUCUGAUAGUGGGCACAUGGUGGCUGUUCAUUAAACAAGGUCAGGCCAUUUAACAUGGACUUUACUCUGGAUUUACAGGUCUACUUCAUAUAGAAUCAUUUUUAUCAAACUAAUACAUUCCAUUUCUGGAUUGAAGGAACUAUCUGGAGCUUUUCUAAUGUCAUUGUUAUCAUAGUUAGCUUGAGGUUAACCAAUAAUGUAACAUUUCAUUUUUGUGCCAAUGACUGGGGAGGGUGAUGGUACGUGUGUUUUUUAAGCUCUCCGAUAAAACUAUUGUUCUAUUAAUGAACAUUUAUUUCCCAUUCUGGGAUAUUGCUUUGCCUUAGACGUAACGUCAAAUGUGGAAGAAGAAUCCAGUGAUGAAUUUGCCUAUGACAGUGUGGUCGUGGAUGCCACGUACCAAGACAUUCUGGUUGAAACACGGAAAAUUAAACGCGUUAUAGCACGUAUUCGAGAUGCAGCAAAUCAAGGCCCAUAUACAGAAGUUGUGUAUGCCAAGUCAUGCAAGAAGAAAAGACGUCAUCAAUACAUGCCUUAAUCAUUAUUAGAUCUGCAUUAUUUCAAAGCAGUACUGCAUGUGUACUUCAUGGUUUACAGUAUCUAUAAUCAUGUAUUUUAUGUAUUGUGUAUUCAAUGCGUGUCUUCUGUUGGACUACUCCCUGCAUGUUCAAGUUGACGAUGAUGCCAAAUUGUUUUGUGACCUGACAUUUGUGGUGCAUUGUGUUAUAUCUUCAGUGGAAGUAAUAAAAAAAUGUUGGAGUCAUUUAGAAGUACCACAUUAAGUAUUAUUGCUGGAUAUACUAUUGCAUUCUCCCUCAUAAAAAAUAUUUUUUAAUGUUCUCAAA